rfam:Arabidopsis thaliana mitochondrial genome
AAGGGUAAGUAAGGAGCUGAAAACGAGUCCUUCGGAGGGCGAAGAAACUCAUUAAUUCAUUUUGAUGAGGGCCCCUCAUUCAAAUGUUAUGCUUAGUGCUUCCCUCACAUUUUGAGUUGAUUAUUUCCAAUUUCGAGAGUGAGAUUGAUCCGACCAAGUAGU